GGAAUCUUUAUCAAAACACAAAAUGCUGGUGAAACUCAACGGGGCAGGCAGCGUCUCUGGAGAAAAGAAACAGGUAACGUUUCUGGUUGGAACACUUCUUCGGG